GAUGAACGCUGGCGGCGUGCCUAAUACACGCAAGUCGAGCGAACAGAUGAGGAGCUUGCUCCUCUGACGUUAGCGGCGGACGGGUGAGUAACACGUGGAUAACCUACCUAUAAGACUGGGAUACCUUCGGGAAACGGGACCUAAUCCCGGAUAAUAUAUUGACCCGCAUGGUUCAAUAGUGAAAGACGGUUUUGCUUUCACUUAUAGAUGGAUCCGCGCCGCAUUAGCUAGUUGGUAAGGUAACGGCUUACCAAGGCAACGAUGCGUAGCCGACCUGAGAGGGUGAUCGGCCACACUGGAACUGAGACACGGUCCAGACUCCUACGGGAGGCAGCAGUAGGGAAUCUUCCGCAAUGGGCGAAAGCCUGACGGAGCAACGCCGCGUGAGUGAUGAAGGUCUUCGGAUCGUAAAACUCUGUUAUUAGGGAAGAACAAAUGUGUAAGUAACUAUGCACGUCUUGACGGUACCUAAUCAGAAAGCCACGGCUAACUACGUG
rnacentral:rRNA from 1 species